UCUUAAGGAUUCUCUUUAGUCUCUUUCACCACUGAAUGAAAAACAUUAGCAAUUGCAAGAGUUCUCCAUGCAGUUUCUAUGAAUAACACCCAGUGGUUGAUUCACACCCAUUUGGGCUCUAGUGGUUUCUUCCCUCCCUUCCAGUUUGUGCAACCUCUGAUCAAUUUUAGGCUACGCAAAACUGAACUACCACUAAAUAUAAUUACUAAGAAAUCUCAUACUGAGGGAAAACCAGGAACCAAGAGCUACAUAUAUCACCAAUGGGACAAGGACACAGAUGUUUCGGCUCAAAGGCCUUUUUCAGUGUGCUUCAACGAAAGGAGAAGAAGAUAAACACCAUUUAUAAAACAGAAAAGCUAAAUUCCUCCCUCUUCCUCAUCCUCUGGAAGGAAACCCCCUCUUUCCUGUUCAGUAGGCCAGCCACAUAAAGUUUCCUCUUCUCAAACUAUCUCAUUUCCUGAGGAGGAUUCACAUGUCCUUGCCCCAAACGCACUCUGGAGUAGAGGACAGAAUCCAGUUCUCAGGAGAGGAAAACAAUUCAUCUUCUGCAUAAACUGGGCCAUAAAGCAUGCCCAGAUGGGGUGGAAAAUGCGACGUCUGAACGGUUCACAAAUCUCCGGCUCUUAAAGAAACAAGAAAUACCUCAGGCACUGAAGAUAUCAUAUAACUCUACCUUUGAGCUCUUCAAGAAGAACAAAAGCCACUGCCACUGGAAUAACAGUCAAUUUCGAGAACUAAUGGGACACCUCGACCGCCAAGCUAAAUCAAAUUUCGUCCCGGUGAUGAGCUCUGAACUUGAGACGCUGGUUGAGGACUUCAGGCAGCUCGAUCAGUUUGUCACGCAGCAGAAUUUCAGCUGCUGCGCCUGGGAAACUGUACGCCAGGAGAUUCUGUUCGUCAUGGACCGCUUCAGCAUAAUGACUAGAAGAAGACACAAUUAAUGCAGUGCAUGCUGUGAAUUAAAUGUUGUCCAUUAUUUAUUAAUACGCUAAUUUAAUUGUUUUUAUUUUGCACUUUUCAUUUUCCGUUGAUGUCGAUAUGUAUAUCAUAUUUUUUAUAUUUUUUAUUCAUUUUAUAAAAUUAAUCGAUGGACUUCCAGAUUAAUGAAUGUUAACGGCUCUGGGCUUAUGCUAUUUAUAAACACAUUUAUUAGAACAACUAAUCUAGACUACACUAAACAGUUUACAAUAAGCGAAAAAAAAGUAUUGUCUUUUAUUAAACAAACCACUGUUUAUACGGGAAUGUGCUAUUAUUACUA